AGGUGGCUGCCACCUCCAAAUGGCAAGGCAAAGAUUAAUGUGGACGGAGCAGUGGCCAGGUCUCGGUGUGGAGGGGCAGCUGCGGCGAUAUGUCGUGACCAGGACGGCUUAUACCUGGGCUCAUCGGCAGUUGUUUUUCAGGGAAUUACUGAUCCUGUGAUGCUAGAGAAUUAUGCGUGCCGGGAAGCUUUGGCAUUGGCAGAAGAUUUUGCGACUACCAAUAUCUGUGUGGCCUCGGAUUGCCAAGAAGUGGUUAAUGAUAUCAACAGGAGGACAGGCGGCCCCAACGCUGCUCUAGUGCAUGAAAUAAUGCUUCGUUGUAAUAGUUUUAAUUCAUACUCGCUUAUUCAUGAGCGUAGGAACCAUAAUUGUGAGGAUCACAAUCACGUCAAAUUCGCUGGUAACGUAGGACUGGGUAGACAUGCUUCUUUGGGCUAUUCUCAUGACCCAAACCUUGUACCUAUGUCGUUUGUUUUUUUAAUGAAUAAAGGUUGA
rnacentral:rRNA from 1 species